AUUGAACGCUGGCGGCAUGCCUUACACAUGCAAGUCGAACGGCAGCACGGGAGCAAUCCCGGUGGCGAGUGGCGAACGGGUGAGUAAUAUAUCGGAACGUGCCCAGUCGUGGGGGAUAACGUAGCGAAAGCUACGCUAAUACCGCAUACGAUCUAUGGAUGAAAGCGGGGGAUCGCAAGACCUCGCGCGAUUGGAGCGGCCGAUAUCAGAUUAGGUAGUUGGUGAGGUAAAGGCUCACCAAGCCGACGAUCUGUAGCUGGUCUGAGAGGACGACCAGCCACACUGGGACUGAGACACGGCCCAGACUCCUACGGGAGGCAGCAGUGGGGAAUUUUGGACAAUGGGCGCAAGCCUGAUCCAGCAAUGCCGCGUGCAGGAUGAAGGCCUUCGGGUUGUAAACUGCUUUUGUACGGAGCGAAAAGGCUUCCACUAAUACUGGGGGCUCAUGACGGUACCGUAAGAAUAAGCACCGGCUAACUACGUGCCAGCAGCCGCGGUAAGAC
rnacentral:rRNA from 1 species